rnacentral:rRNA from 1 species
AGAGUUUGAUCCUGGCUCAGAACGAACGCUGGCGGCGUGGAUAAGACAUGCAAGUCGAACGCUGAUUGCGGAGUAGCAAUAUUCUGCAAUCGGAGUGGCGCACUGGUGCGUAACACGUGGGUAAUUUGCCGCGAAGUUCGGGACAACUCCGAGAAAUCGGAGCUAAUACCGGAUGUGAUUGCCUGGGGGCAUCCCUGGGCGGUUAAAGUUGGGGACCGCAAGGCCUGACGCUUCACGAUAAGCCCGCGGCCUAUCAGCUAGUUGGUGAGGUAACGGCCCACCAAGGCUAAGACGGGUAGCUGGUCUGAGAGGACGACCAGCCACACUGGAACUGAGACACGGUCCAGACACCUACGGGUGGCAGCAGUCGAGAAUUUUUCACAAUGGGCGAAAGCCUGAUGGAGCGACGCCGCGUGGGGGAUGAAUGGCUUCGGCCCGUAAACCCCUGUCAUUCGCGAGCAAUGCCUUCCCGAUAAUACCGGGACGGUUGAUCGUAGCGAAAGAGGAAGGGACGGCUAACUCUGUGCCAGCAGCCGCGGUAAUACAGAGGUCCCAAGCGUUGUUCGGAUUCACUGGGCGUAAAGGGUGCGUAGGUGGUGAGGUAAGUUCGAUGUGAAAUCUCCGGGCUCAACCCGGAAAAGGCAUUGAAUACUAUCUUGCUCGAGGUUUGGAGGGGGGACUGGAAUUCUCGGUGUAGCAGUGAAAUGCGUAGAUAUCGAGAGGAACACCGGUGGCGAAGGCGAGUCCCUGGACAACACCUGACACUGAGGCACGAAAGCUAGGGGAGCAAACAGGAUUAGAUACCCUGGUAGUCCUGGCCCUAAACGGUGCACAUUUGCUGUGGGCGGAAUCGACCCCGUCCGUGGCGAAGCUAACGCGAUAAAUGUGCCGCCUGGGAAGUACGGUCGCAAGAUUAAAACUCAAAGGAAUUGACGG